AAAGAGCUGGGCCAUCCGUGGCAAUGCCUCCCAGGCUUGGGAGCUGGGAAAAGGCCCCAGGAGCUAGGGCAUCCUGAUUGUUCUUUCAAAGAAAUCCCUCUUGUUCUUAGUCAACAUGCUGGAUACCAGCUAAAAAAUGCAAAAUGAUCUUCAGGCAGGGAUGGCACAGGACCCUUGCUGAGCUGUGAAGCCUGGCUGUGAGGAUUCCUGCAUGGAAACAUCAACAUGUUGCCAGAUUGGUAUACGACUCAACACCACACUGACAUGCUGCUCCCAAACAGUGCCUUUGAAUCAAGACCCAGUCAUCGUAUUCGAAGAAAAAGGAAAUAUCCCUGACCAUGUUGGGACUUAACACUGCUUCACAGAGUCCAUGGAGUUCCUGGUGACUAAUGCCAUCCACAAGAUCUGAAGGUGUUGUGUAACCUAGACCUGGCCCUUCUCUCAGUGCAUCCCCCUCUCCAGAGUGACCAACUCAGAGAGGUCAUGUGCUUAAGGGAAGCUUUCACACCACAUUUUGUUUCCUGACAAGAGAAGGAGAAAUCGUUGGCCUCUGCGUGACAUGGAGGGUCCCCCCACCUGCAAGCUUUUGUGUUUGCUGGAUCUUGGACAGUACCCUGGCGAAAAGCAUUCGGCAAGAUUAUCCGGCUAGCACAGCCUUCAAGGAAUAAAUAUCUAACACCUUGUUCCCUUUUGCGGUUCAAAAGCCACUGUCACUGGGGUACAUAGGCAGUUUUAAAAAAGGCUACAAUUCAUAUGCAAACUAGAGGAGGAUUUCCAUGAUUUCAUAAUAAAAUGUUGAAACGCUUUGA
rnacentral:lncRNA from 1 species